CCAGACUCCUACGGGAGGCAGCAGUGGGGGAUAUUGCACAAUGGGGGAAACCCUGAUGCAGCGACGCCGCGUGGGCGAAGAAGUAUUUCGGUAUGUAAAGCCCUAUCAGCAGGGAAGAAGAAAUGACGGUACCUGAGUAAGAAGCACCGGCUAAAUACGUGCCAGCAGCCGCGGUAAUACGUAGGGGGCAAGCGUUAUCCGGAUUCACUGGGUGUAAAGGGAGCGUAGACGGCCAUGCAAGCCAGGGGUGAAAGCCCGGGGCCCAACCCCGGGACUGCCCUUGGAACUGCAUGGCUGGAGUGCGGGAGGGGCAGGCGGAAUUCCUGGUGUAGCGGUGAAAUGCGUAGAUAUCAGGAGGAACACCGGCGGCGAAGGCGGCCUGCUGGACCGCGACUGACGUUGAGGCUCGAAAGCGUGGGGAGCGAACAGGAUUAGAUACCCGGGUAC
rnacentral:rRNA from 1 species